GGAGUCAGGAUCUGAGCUUAGAUGCUUUAUUUUUCUAUCUGGAAACUAAAAAGAAAAAAGCAAGCCACAUAUUUAGUUAAUGGUCUCUAAGUUUUUAGCCCUUGACUGCUAAAUAAAUAGGUUGAUUGGGGUAUCAGAAAGGGAAAAGUUUGGGAGUCGAUAAUUUAUUUUUCCUUUGAAAGUUUCCCUUCGAUUAGUUGCACAUUUAGUUUAAUGAGAUCUGAGCAUUUGCAAAUAGGCAAAAUAAUGGGAAGAAACAACCAAAUCUAUUUAUUCUGGAAGAUCUGGCUUUUCCUUCUCUACUGGCAGACUCUUGGGAGCCACUUACAUAUCUUACAGGAGUCAUGUGUUUCCUCCUGCUCAUGUCCCAGGUCUCACAGACCAGCAGACACUCUUGCUCACGUGCAUGGUUCUGUCAUAUAAAGGUGAUGAAGCGCCAUGCUGAGAGGAGACCUAGACACCUGUUUAAUUUUGAGGCCGACUGUUGGCAGUUCAUUUCCCACAGACACCCUUGCUCCUCAGGCUGCCUGUUUUGGUGUUGUAUAGCUCUGUGAAGGCAGCUGGGCAAUAAAUAGUGUUAGCAUACCGCUGGAAAUGAGAUUUGUGAGUAUGGGGGAAGGGCUAUUUGUUGUCUUGUUUUGUUUUCAAAAACUAUCAUUAGGAGAAAGGUCAUUUUUUGAAGAUGUUCAAGUUCCUCUGAGGAAAAGAAACCACUGAUAGAAUGUUUUUUUUUUUUUAAUGAAUGACUGAUUUUAGGUAGUGUUUGUUGAAUGACUGAUUUCAGGUGGUGUCUGUGAAUGGUUUCUGAUGGUGUUUGUGAAUGACUGACUUUUCAAAUGAAACCUUGAAGGGAAAGAGAUGUAAGCCUAGAAUGAACCCCAGUAGACUUAAUGUUUCCAGCUGCAGGUCUCCAUUUGAGAUGGGGACAUUCUUCAGGUAGAUAGCUCUGACACAAAUAGUGUGUCAUCACAGAUAACAGCUAUCUUGGUGGCAUCAGGAGACUGUUCAUGAAACAAGGGCAUCGCUGUGAAUGUUUUCUCUCCCUGUGCCAUGAGAUUAUAGCUGGAUGACUUGUCUUUGGACUACACCUGAGUAAAAAGAAAAAAUCCUGAUGGCUGGUGCCAACGGAGCCAACGAUUGUGACACGAGAUUCCUGGCAAUGCUAAUAAUGAGCCAGGAUUUACAAAUCCCUGUCUUAGCCCUGGGACAUGGAAAAUAUUUCUCUUCAGUAAAUAGUUAGAAAUCAUCCACUUGUGAGCGGCUGUCAGAUCGCUCUGCCACCGGAUUACUUAUUAGAGAGCAAGGGUUCUGGAAUGAGUUGAUGCCGACCGAUCAUUGGCUGUCCUGUAGAGGAUCUUUCACUGUAUCGUCUCAUUAAUGAAUUUGAGAGUUGAGACUUUGGCUUCUAAAGAACUAAACUCUCAUACUUUGAAACGCAGAUAUUUUUCCCCUAUACGUCUCAGGAAUCCGAAGACCUCUGUGUCCAGGAAAAACAAUCAGCAUCGUUACUACCUAUAUAGGACGUUAUAUAAAAUAAUUUACAUUUUUUCGAGUUAAUGGGAUAAGGUGUUGUGAGAGUCAUAGUUCUAUAGCAUCUGACAGGGCCUGUGAGGUGCAUUUCAUUUUAGGGGUAUGUGUUCUAACUCAAAAGCCCCUCGAAGCAUUUGGGUGGAUCAUGGUAGCCAUACACACCGUGAGCUUUAGCUCUCAGUUACUAGGAGAGUUUUUGGGAAAAUUUGUUUAUGCCGUGUCUCAAGUCCUAUUACCUGAUGAUAAGUAACCAAUACUAGGUUUUAUAGGGUGUUUUCCUUUUGGAAAGCACAAACAAUGUUCUAUUUCAGGAACCCUGUGGUAGAGUGUCUUGUCUGGAUGUUGGUUAGGUACCAUCUGGGGUGCUUCCGUCCUCCACAGCUCUGCAGCACCUGUGCACUGGAAGGCCACACGGUGACUCAAGGAAAGCAAAGCAAACAGAGCAACCACACCCAGAACAGUGACAACCUGACAGGGAACUGCCAGAAAAGCCCUUUUGUUCCUUCAUAUUUCCACCAUUAUGUCCUUCAUUACCUUUUUAAUGUGGUGACAAUCAGGAAAUGAUCUCCAUUAGAGGAUAACACUCUCUGCUAGCCUAUCAGCUGGAGAAUUAGGAGACGUAUGUGAGGAGGGAAUUAUAAGUAGCUCACCAAGUAUUAAGUCCCCUAUCUGUAGACCAGCUCUGACCGGUUAUGGGCAGUGGAAAGAUCCCAUCAGUUCAUGCUUACCAGCUCUUACUGGCAAACCUUUCCUCCCCACUUAUGAGCUAUAGAAGAUGCUUUGUGUCCCUUGUCUUCUGAUCAUAUUUCCUCCCAUUACUCAUCUGUAGCUCAGGGGCUUAUUGUUUUCCUCGAGCACAUUUAAUCGUGAUAUUCUCCAUUCCUUGGAUUUAGAGUUAGAGUCUUUGUUUCAUGCAUCCAAAAAAGGCAGUGUAAAGUUGUCAGGAGUACUUAGCCAAGAAUCGUCAACACCUUUGAAAACUAGAGUCUGUAAAGUGAGCCAGAUACACAGAGCAGCAAAAGAUUUUAACCCUGCCAGCUACCCACAAGGAUGCAGUGUAAAAAUCUGUAGGAGCUGUGCUAAUAGCAGUGCGCCACACUGGCACAGUGCAGUGUAUGAUCUGUGCUAAUAGCAGUGUGCCACACUGGCACAGUGCAGUGUAUGAGCUGUGCUGGUUGCAGUGUGCCACACUGGCACAGUGCAGUGUAUGAGCUGUGCUGGUUGCAGUGCGCCACACUGGCACAGUGCAGUGUAUGAGCUGUGCUGGUUGCAGUGCGCCAGUGGCACAGUGUGGUGUUCAGGCAACCUCUAUUCUCUUUGGGGUUUUAUGUUGCUAAGAACAAGAGGAUAAUUUAAAAAGCAUUUUUUACCAAGAGCAUUAUGAAAAUGGAUUGGCUUGCAGAUACUGCUGUUUCUUUUAAAUAAGAAUAUUCUGUGCUCUAAUAAAACAGUUGCCAGCAUAUCAAGACCAUUGCAAUAACUGAGUUCCUGAUUAUAAUGAUUUGCAGCUGUGAUCCUGGGGGCCCCAGUGUAUCAUUCGUGGCUGUCUCUAUUUCUGAAAAUUGUGUGCCAUUUUUCAUUCCUGUAAACACAAAUUCUGGUUUGACAGAUUGGAUAUACUUUUCUCUUAGUAAUUUAAAACAUCAUCUAGGUACAAAUACAUGUUACACAGUCUGCUGUGUUGUCCUGUUAAAUGAUACAAAAUGAUUUCUAAAUUUCAAAUGGUUUCUUUUGGUUAACACAGCCCCACAAUUAAAUGAAGAAAACUAGGGGGAACAGAGCACAGUAAAGAAGAGAUCACAGGGGCAGACUGGUGAGAAAGCACCAUGGUACAAGAGAAGUGAUUACAAACAGCCCCUGAGAGGUGUAAACUGCCCGACUGCUCCAGCUCUAAAGCCUUUGGGGCCACCUCUGAAGCAUGAUGUGAACAUAAAGUGGGAACAAGAGCUGCAGAAAUCCUCAGAUACGCUGGAGAGAGUGGUCAGGCAGAGCCAGCACUGUCCAGAUCGGGCUGGAGGGAUUGUCUGCUUCACUUGCUGCAGUGAUGAAGAAAGCCUAGCAUCCCGUGAAACUGUUAGGACUUUGGUUUCCUAGCAGUUUCCCUCCUGCUUCAGUUCCCAUCUACAGGAGAUUGAUAGACUGUUUCCGCCUGCUUAGCACUGCUUUUUCUUCCUUGGAACACCUCUGCCUUUGAGCACCUGGUUUUUAUUAAUGCUUCUAAACCACACUUCUGUGACAUACU
rnacentral:lncRNA from 1 species